rnacentral:rRNA from 1 species
UACGGGGGGGGCAAGCGUUGUUCGGAAUUACUGGGCGUAAAGGGCUCGUAGGCGGCCAACUAAGUCAGACGUGAAAUCCCUCAGCUUAACUGGGGAACUGCGUCUGAUACUGGAUGGCUUGAGUUUGGGAGAGGGAUGCGGAAUUCCAGGUGUAGCGGUGAAAUGCGUAGAUAUCUGGAGGAACACCGGUGGCGAAGGCGGCAUUCUGGACCAUAACUGACACUGAGAGACGAAAGCCAGGGGAGCAAACGGG